rnacentral:rRNA from 1 species
GAUGAACGCUGGCGGCGUGCUUAACACAUGCAAGUCGAACGGAAAGGCUCCUGCUUGCAGGGGUACUCGAGUGGCGAACGGGUGGGUAACACGUGGGUGAUCUGCCCUGCACUUCGGGAUAAGCCUGGGAAACUGGGUCUAAUACCGGAUAGGACGAUGGUUUGGAUGCCAUUGUGGAAAGUUUUUUCGGUGUGGGAUGAGCUCGCGGCCUAUCAGCUUGUUGGUGGGGUAAUGGCCUACCAAGGCGUCGACGGGUAGCCGGCCUGAGAGGGUGUACGGCCACAUUGGGACUGAGAUACGGCCCAGACUCCUACGGGAGGCAGCAGUGGGGAAUAUUGCACAAUGGGCGCAAGCCUGAUGCAGCGACGCCGCGUGGGGGAUGACGGCCUUCGGGUUGUAAACUCCUUUCGCUAGGGACGAAGCGCAAGUGACGGUACCUGGAGAAGAAGCACCGGCUAACUACGUG